rnacentral:rRNA from 1 species
UACAGAGGUGCCGAGCGUUAGGCGGAAUCACUGGGCUUAAAGCGUGUGUAGGCGGAUGCCUAAGUACCUUGUGAAAUCCCCCGGCUUAACCGGGGAACUGCUUGGUAUACUGGGUGUCUUGAGCCACUUAGGGGCGACCGGAACAAACGGUGGAGCGGUGAAAUGCGUAGAUAUCGUUUGGAACGCCAAUGGUGAAAACAGGUCGCUGGGAGUGUGCUGACGCUGAGACACGAAAGCUAGGGGAGCAAACAGG